GGCCUCCUAAUUCUCACCACAGGCUGUGUUCUUUACACUGACUGUAUAGAAAUAGGAGGUACAGUAAAUUCACCCCAUAUAAACCUCAACCCAAGCACUUUGCCUGGUCUGUAUUGUGAAUUGGGGGACAAAA